rnacentral:lncRNA from 1 species
CUUAGAGCUUUCUGCUUUGAAUUACAUGGGCUAUUGUUUUAUUCCCUCUUUUCUGCUGUAAUUUUGGGGAAGGAGAGAUUCUCUCUUGCCCGUACUUGUGUCUCCAGCCACUGGCACUGAGCCUGGCACAUGAGACACCUAACAUUUAUCACAGCGUCUUGAGAAAAGCACAGACUUUGGAGCUGGAUGGCUCACCCUCGACAAGCAUAUUAUCUUCUCUGUGUUCAGUUUCCUCAUGUGUAAAAUGGGAAUAAUAUUACUACCCAUCUCAUAGGAGGACUGCAUGUGUUGGAUUGUGUCUCCCAAAAAGCUUUGUUGAAGUCCUAAGCUCCACAACCUGUGAAUGUGACCUUACUUGGAAAUAAGGUCUUUGCAGAUGUAAUCAGGUUAGAGUCAUACUGCAUGAGGGUGGGCCCUACGUCCAACAGCUGGUGCCUUUAUAGGAGAAAGGAGAGGGAGAUUCGGACAUAAAGAGGACAGAGGGAAGAGGCCAUGUGAAGAUGCAGGCAGAGACCGAAGUGAUACAGUGCAGGCCGAGGAAUGCCAGGGGCUGCCGAGAGCUGCUGGAAGCUGGGAGAGAGGCAAGGAAGGAGUCUUCCCGGAGCCUUUGGAUGGAGAAUGGCCCUGGGGACACCUUGAUUUCAGACUUCUAGGUUCCAGAACUGAGAGAGAAGAAAUUUCUAUUGUCUUACGAUACCUAGUGAUAGCUGCCCUAAGAAACUAAUACAAGGAUUGAAUAUGUUAACGUUGGUAAAGAUCUUAGAACAGCGCCUGGCCAUGGCACUGUUCUAGGCUUUGGGGAUUAAGAGCUGAAUAAGACAACUUCCCCUGUUGUGCCCAGCACGUCCCCUUGGUGCUCCUCUGAUUUCAGCUGUAGAUGUGGUGGACAGUCUCUCGCAAGCUCUCUGGCCUCAGACUGCCAACGUCCUACCGAAGACUCAAACUAGGGGGUUUUCUGCUGUUUUCCAAAGCAGUGCAAACUUCUUCGUCCCAUGAACAAGUGCAACCCACAAGUGUGAAAGAGUGAACACCCCGGGAGAGCCCUCAACGUGCAGUCAUGGGGCCGGGAGCUGGUGGAUAAAGGCUCAGCUUCCUGUCUCUAAGGAGACAAUUAUGGAAGGCAUUUCCUGUAACAUUUCAGGAAGUCCCCAUGGAGUAGACUCCCCGUUACCACAGCGUCCUCGAUAAUGAACACUCAUAUUGACUUUUACUUCUUUCUCACUAUCCCCAGUCCCUUCCUUCUCUUCUGGUAUCACAUUCCAGAAUAAACUGUAGGUCCCCAAGUCUGGUCUCAGCUCUGCUCCAGGGGAACUGGACCCAGAAGGAGCCUGCCUUCUCGUGCAGCGCUGUCCAAAAGAAAUAUGUGAGCCACAUAGGCAAUUAAAAAAUUUCUAGAAGCCACAUUAAUAAAGGAGAAACAAGUGAAAUUAAUUCUAACAGUAUAUGUGCUCUAACA